CUAUUCUCAGCCGGAAGGAGGCUCCAUCCCAAAUUGCCCUCAAGAUACGUUUUUUCCUCCCUGUUAAAUAGUUGACACCUUUUGUUAUACAAAUUCACCCCUUGUAUUCCUAGUCCUUGCAGGCAUUCCUGUUUCCAAAGUGAGUUCCAGACUGGAUUCCAGAGAUGGCCAACCUGAGGAACCCCUUCUCACAGCAUUGCACCGGACAGGAUAUCAUGUAAUGAGGCUGUAAAGCUCAGAAGAGUCACAUUUCGGCUAAAAAUGGAAGGUUGGUAAUAAACAAAGCUGACUGGUUUCA
rnacentral:lncRNA from 12 species